AGAGUUUGAUCAUGGCUCAGGAUGAACGCUAGCGACAGGCUUAACACAUGCAAGUCGAGGGGCAGCGGGGAGUAGCAAUACUUCGCCGGCGACCGGCGCACGGGUGAGUAACACGUGUGCAACCAACCUCGUGCCGGGAGAUAACCCGCGGAAACGUGGACUAACAUCCCAUGACACUUCAUGAUCGCAUGAUCAUGAUUUUAAAAGAAUGGCACGAGACGGGCACGCGCGACAUUAGGUAGUUGGGGGGUAACGGCCACCAAGCCGACGAUGUCUAGGGGUUCUGAGAGGAAGGUCCCCCANACUGGAACUGAGACACGGUCCAGACUCCUACGGGAGGCA
rnacentral:rRNA from 1 species